UGGAGGACAGGUGGUGCAUGGUUGUCGUCAGCUCGUGUCGUGAGAUGUUGGUUAAGUCCGCAACGAGCGCAACCCUUAUUGCUAGUUACCAUCAUUAAAGUUUGGGGGACGUCUAGCGAGACUGCCAGUGAUAAACUGGAGGAAGGUGGGGAUGACGUCAAAUCAUCAUGCCCCUUAUGACCUGGGCUACAAACGUGAUACAAUGGCUGAAACAAAGGGCAGCGAAGCAGUGAUGUGAAGCGAAACCCAAAAAAGACAGUCUCAGUUCGGAUUGAAGUCUGCAACUCGACUUCAUGAAGUCGGAAUCGCUAGUAAUCGCGGAUCAGAACGCCGCGGUGAAUACGUUCUCGGGGUUU
rnacentral:rRNA from 1 species